UAUUAGGUUGGUGCAAAAGUAAUUGCAGUUUUGCCAUUUAAAAGUAAUGGCAAAACUGCAAUUACUUUUGCACCAACCUAAUA
rnacentral:pre_miRNA from 2 species